rnacentral:rRNA from 1 species
GGGGAGGAAUAUUUGCACAAUGGGCGCAAGCCUGAUGCAGCCAUGCCGCGUGUAUGAAGAAGGCCUUCGGGUUGUAAAGUACUUUCAGCGGGGAGGAAGGUGUUGUGGUUAAUAACCACAGCAAUUGACGUUACCCGCAAAAGAAGCACCGGCUAACUCCGUGCCAGCCGCCGCGGUAAUU